AUGCAUAGCAAAACUGAUUUAGUCAAUCACAUACAUUCAAGUAAGUUUAAACAUCCAUUUCAUAAACCUAAUCCCUCACAUAAAAAUGUUUUAAACAUCUUUAAGCUAACAAUUAUCCAUUUAUUGAUGUUCCUGACAAUCAGGGCCUGUCAGUAUUGCCUAUUCUAA